AGUGAACGCUGGCGGUAGGCCUAACACAUGCAAGUCGAACGGCAGCACAGUAAGAGCUUGCUCUUACGGGUGGCGAGUGGCGGACGGGUGAGGAAUACAUCGGAAUCUACUUUUUCGUGGGGGAUAACGUAGGGAAACUUACGCUAAUACCGCAUACGACCUACGGGUGAAAGCAGGGGAUCUUCGGACCUUGCGCGAUUGAAUGAGCCGAUGUCGGAUUAGCUAGUUGGCGGGGUAAAGGCCCACCAAGGCGACGAUCCGUAGCUGGUUUGAGAGGAUGAUCAGCCACACUGGAACUGAGACACGGUCCAGACUCCUACGGGAGGCAGCAGCGGGGAAUAUUGGACAAUGGGCGCAAGCCUGAUCCAGCCAUACCGCGUGGGUGAAGAAGGCCUUCGGGUUGUAAAGCCCUUUUGUUGGGAAAGAAAAGCAGCAGGUUAAUACCCCGCUGUUCUGACGGUACCCAAAGAAUAAGCACCGGCUAACUUCGUG
rnacentral:rRNA from 1 species